UGCGAUGUUAUAAAUGCGUUAAAGCCAUUGCCCGCUCAAAUAUAUUGCCCGAUGUUGAUUCAUUUUGCCAGCAAUUUUCCACGCAUUUGCGCCUUGAACAAAAAACUCCACUUUCGGUGGAGAUGCGCCCCCAAAGUCAUUAACAUUUAACCGAUCAAAGCGCCGAGGUGAGCGAAACAGGUAAAAUCACCCAUUCAAUGCCUCAACCCGCAAUCGGAGCCACAAAAACAGCCAGGAAGAGCAACAAUCGAUGGCGCCAAAAAAGAGAAGAGCGGAAUAUCAAAUUGCAACGCAAAAGUGAGGUCUUUAAUGCCACAGCCGCGGAAACACGUGCUCUAUCAGAUACCCUCUCAACAUGUAUCGUGAAUCUUAAAAAAAAGGGUAUGAGAUAGUGUUGUCAAGAGCGGCAUAAGCGCGAGUUUGGUUCCUGCAUUUGCGUUUAAUUACGGAAUAAUCCAAAGCGAUUGCGGAACAGGAAAAUCGAUAUGGAGUGGUAAUGGUGGAUGGGCGGCAGUUUCGGGCGGCUGUGGCCAUCCGUGUCAGUCCCAAUGAUCCAGCGGCGGACAGGCCGUUGACGCUGCUAACCCAAUUAAGCUGUCGCCCGACUGAGCAGACAGCAUCCUUGCACGGCCCCUCAUGGAGUCCAUGGAGUCCACCCCCUGCUCCUCCACACCACCCCCACUGCUUUGGCGCCGGGAACCACAUCCACCGAGUAGCAACUGUUGGGUCUGCCGUGAACUGGCACUGUGCCCAAAUAAACCGCAGGAGCAAAAGCCACCGCUCCUCCAUGGCCACCAUCUCCUGGCAUCGCCCUGCUCAUUCGCUUCGUGGCGCUUCAAUAGCAAUUUGGUUAAACUCCUUUUUAAUUUCAGCCGCACUUCCGUCUCACCGCAGUUGGCUCCUUGGAGUGAAGACAGACUCUGAGAUGUCCUGAGAUUUAUUAUAAGUGCUUUUAUAGGGUUCAGCCAAUAAUAUCCGAGAGGAAUAUUAAAAGUAUGCUUUAAAUCGAAAAGUUUAAAGGUCUUAAAUAAAAAAUGCAUCCCAUGCUAAUCCGAAAUA
rnacentral:sRNA from 1 species